AGCAACUGACUACACUGUCAGA
rnacentral:miRNA from 12 species